rnacentral:rRNA from 1 species
UACGUAGGGUGCGAGCGUUAAUCGGAAUUACUGGGCGUAAAGGGCUCGUAGGCGGCCAACUAAGUCAGACGUGAAAUCCCUCGGCUUAACCGGGGAACUGCAUCUGAUACUGGAUGGCUUGAGUUCGGGAGAGGGAUGCGGAAUUCCAGGUGUAGCGGUGAAAUGCGUAGAUAUCUGGAGGAAUACCGGUGGCGAAGGCGGCAUCCUGGACCGACAUUGACGCUGAACGGCGAAAGCUAGGGGAGCAAACGGG